rnacentral:pre_miRNA from 12 species
UAACAGAAACCCGUAAGUCCGAACUUGUACUUGUAAAUUUGCUACAAGAUUGGCGUUAUGGGGCUCUGUCAA